CCGCCCGUCACAUCACGAAAGUGGACUGUACUAGAAGUCGGUGCACUAACCCGCAAGGGAGGCAGCCGCCCAAGGUAUAGCUCAUGAUUGGGGU
rnacentral:rRNA from 1 species